rnacentral:tRNA from 1 species
AGGGAGGUGGUUCAGUGGCAAAGCACACACCUUGCAUGUGUGAGGCUCUGGGUUUGAUUCCUAGCAUCCUUG